GGGGGCGUCACGGUUUCGACGGGGAUACGGAGAUUCGUGCGGCGUGUCGGGGUUUUCUGUGCCCUCGUUAAAACUGCGGAAACUUUACAAUUGCCAACGACAAUGUUGAGCUCGCUCUUGCUGCCUAAUUGGCAGUAAUAGCACCAGAAUCCAAAUAUGCGAUUCCGUCGUUUCAGGUCGUGCCUGUAGGCCUGUCUCGGCGUCAAGUUACAGGAUGGUCAACGGAUAGCCGUGGUUAAAGGCGCUCCCGCGACGAGAUAAAAUUUUAACCACUCAGUCGGCGCCUGUCUUUGGGCCUCCGCCUGUGGAAUCAAACAAAGACUACACACGUAGAAGGGCGAAAUUGAAGAUUUUCGGACGCGGGUUCGACUCCCGCCGCCUCCAUGA
rnacentral:tmRNA from 1 species